rnacentral:rRNA from 1 species
UGAGUACGUGGUCGUAGACCCGAAACCAGGUGAUCUACCCAUGUCCAGGGUGAAGGUGAGGUAACACUCACUGGAGGCCCGAACCCACGCACGUUGAAAAGUGCGGGGAUGAGGUGUGGGUAGCGGAGAAAUUCCAAUCGAACUUGGAGAUAGCUGGUUCUCUCCGAAAUAGCUUUAGGGCUAGCCUCGUGUGAAGAAUACUGGAGGUAGAGCACUGUUUGGACUAGGGGCCCACCUCGGGUUACCGAAUUCAGACAAACUCCGAAUGCCAGCUAUUUAUACACGGGAGUCAGACUACGAGUGAUAAGAUCCGUGGUCAAAAGGGAAACAGCCCAGACCACCAGCUAAGGUCCCAAAGUAAUCGUUAAGUGGAAAAGGAUGUGGCGUUGCUUAGACAACCAGGAUGUUGGCUUAGAAGCAGCCAUCAUUUAAAGAGUGCGUAAUAGCUCACUGGUCGAGUGACGCUGCGCCGAAAAUGUAACGGGGCUAAACGAUUCACCGAAGCUGUGGAUUCGUGCGUUGCACGAGUGGUAGGAGAGCGUUCUAAGUGCGUCGAAGUCAGACCGGAAGGACUGGUGGAGCGCUUAGAAGUGAGAAUGCCGGUAUGAGUAGCGAAAGAUGGGUGAGAAUCCCAUCCACCGAAUGACUAAGGUUUCCUGAGGAAGGCUCGUCCGCUCAGGGUUAGUCGGGACCUAAGUCGAGGCCGAAAGGCGUAGACGAUGGACAACAGGUUGAUAUUCCUGUACCACCUCCCCGCCGUUUGAGUGAUGGGGGGACGCAGGAGGAUAGGGAAUGCACGCCGUUGGUCGAGCGUGUCCAAGCAGCAAGGCGUGGAAGUAGGCAAAUCCGCUUCCUAAUACGCUGAGCUGUGAUGGGGAGCGCGUUACGCGCGAAGUUCCUGAUUUCACACUGCCAAGAAAAGCCUCUAGCGAGGCGGGAGGUGCCCGUACCGCAAACCGACACAGGUAGUCGAGGAGAGAAUCCUAAGGUGAGCGAGAGAACUCUCGUUAAGGAACUCGGCAAAAUGACCCCGUAACUUCGGGAGAAGGGGUGCUCAUUGGGGUGCAAGCCCUGAUGAGCCGCAGUGAAUAGGCCCAGGCGACUGUUUAGCAAAAACACAGGUCUCUGCAAAACCGUAAGGUGAAGUAUAGGGGCUGACGCCUGCCCGGUGCUGGAAGGUUAAGAGGAGGAGUUAGCGCAAGCGAAGCUCCGAAUUGAAGCCCCAGUAAACGGCGGCCGUAACUAUAACGGUCCUAAGGUAGCGAAAUUCCUUGUCGGGUAAGUUCCGACCCGCACGAAAGGCGUAACGAUCUGGGCACUGUCUCAACGAGAGACUCGGUGAAAUUAUAGUACCUGUGAAGAUGCAGGUUACCCGCGACAGGACGGAAAGACCCCGUGGAGCUUUACUGUAACCUGAUAUUGAAUUUCGGUGCAACUUGUACAGGAUAGGUAGGAGCCGUAGAAGGGGGAGCGCCAGCUUCCCUGGAGGCGCCCUUGGGAUACUACCCUGGUUGUACUGAAAUUCUAACCCGCAAGCCUGAUCGGCUUGGGAGACAGUGUCAGGUGGACAGUUUGACUGGGGCGGUCGCCUCCUAAAAGGUAACGGAGGCGCCCAAAGGUUCCCUCAGAAUGGUUGGAAAUCAUUCGCAGAGUGUAAAGGCAUAAGGGAGCUUGACUGCGAGACCUACAAGUCGAGCAGGGUCGAAAGACGGGCUUAGUGAUCCGGUGGUUCCGCAUGGAAGGGCCAUCGCUCAACGGAUAAAAGCUACCCCGGGGAUAACAGGCUUAUCUCCCCCAAGAGUCCACAUCGACGGGGAGGUUUGGCACCUCGAUGUCGGCUCAUCGCAUCCUGGGGCUGUAGUCGGUCCCAAGGGUUGGGCUGUUCGCCCAUUAAAGCGGUACGCGAGCUGGGUUCAGAACGUCGUGAGACAGUUCGGUCCCUAUCCGUCGUGGGCGUAGGAAAUUUGAGAGGAGCUGUCCUUAGUACGAGAGGACCGGGAUGGACACACCGCUGGUGUACCAGUUGUCUUGCCAAAGGCACCGCUGGGUAGCUAUGUGUGGACGGGAUAAGUGCUGAAAGCAUCUAAGCAUGAAGCCCCCCUCAAGAUGAGAUUUCCCAUUGCAUAAGCAAGUAAGAUCCCUCAAAGACGAUGAGGUAGAUAGGUCCGAGGUGGAAGCACGGUGACGUGUGGAGCUGACGGAUACUAAUCGAUCGAGGACUUAACCAA